AUGGCGUAUAAUAAGGUAACACCUCUUUCGUUCAGUGACUAUUGUGAUCCAUACUUUAUGGUGGUGACUUAUUCUUCCCUUUAUUGCACAGCCUCCUUUCGGAAGAUAAAAAGAUAUUUGUCCUGCUUCGACAAGGCUCCUCACGGGGGAAGUGCCGAUAUAUUGACCUUUAAGCUCGGCGGGUUCUUUGCAUUUGUAUCGGUCCGGGGUUUGCCUUUCCCGUCCUACUUAUUGUAUGCUGAUGACAUUCUGCUUUUCUGCGCGGCAUCUAUCUCUAAUGCCAAGGAGAUUCUUAAGAUCUUGAAAGACUAUGCUGAAAUUUUAGGCCAGUUCCAAUCCUGA